UAUCAAAAAUUCCGGUAAAAGCUAACUAUCUUGACUAUAACUAGAGUUCCUGACUUACAAAAAAUAUUGUUUGAGGUAUGUCCUAACUCUAGGGGUUGCUCUAAUAUUACAAAUGUAAGCAAUGCUCCUAACUAAAACUUCACUGGGACAGUAAGUGUUUCUGAAUAUACGUGCAUUUCUUUCCAACCAAAUGGCAUAUGACAUCUCUGCAAAUACCAUUUUGAACACAUGAGCUUGGGGAGAUUUGCCUUUAGACUUCUCAGUGAUUCAGUUAAC
rnacentral:lncRNA from 1 species